GGGAUUUCAAAAAAAGGUCCAAUGAAAGAUCUUUGUUUAUUUCUGAUUGUUUUACAGAAUUAUGUUCACACUCCUCAAACGAAACAAACCUAGGGCUUGAUUCAAUCCGUAUCGCCGAAAUUGCGCGUUAUUGUGCGUUUGCAAUUUAAAGGUAAUUUACGAUUGAGCUGACAUAUGCAGCGUUUACCGUGAAUGCAGUCUCCGCAAACGCGGGAAUAUUACCUUAUGUAGGCCAGGGUUUCUCCAAGAAUCUCAAUAUCCAUAUUUGGUUAACCCUCUUGAAAUAGAUGUUAACUGCUGUCUGCGUUCUCAGGUGGAUAUUUCCCCAUCUGCUCUCACCCUCCCCCGCUCUCUCUUGAGCUGAGCAGCUGUGACACCAGUUUCUCCUGCCGGAGGGAGAGUGGGAGGGAGCGACAAUUAGACAGGGAAUCAGAUUUGACCUGCAUAGAGCUGUAAGAUGCACCUGUUCAACAUAACACCACAUUCACUUACACCGCUGCUGAUUCAACUCCGAGUGAUGGGAUAGCUUGACCUGGAAACAAGACCAAGAUUUUACUUUGGCGUGCAUGUCUGUGUGUGUGCGAGAGCUUCUCCCUCAAUCAAGAUUCAUCCCGAGAGAGCACAAGCUUCCCUCUUUCUUCAGAGCAGCAGUUCAGCUGUUACUGUGACUAUCCUUGCACAGGUGUUUACAGGAAAUGGAUAUCAGAAGCCACAGAAGAGGGCCACGAUGACAUUAUCCAUGACCUCAUCCAUCCUGGAAUCCGACCAAUCCCGUCCUGGAAUCUCCCCUACACCGUGACCACCAGUGCGAGCUGAUGCUCAGUCACAGAUGGUGGAAACAGUUAACAGUCAAC
ensembl:lncRNA